rnacentral:rRNA from 1 species
CCUACGUGUGGCAGCAGUGGGGAAUAUUGCGCAAUGGGCGAAAGCCUGACGCAGCGACGCCGCGUGAGGGAUGAAGGUCUUCGGAUCGUAAACCUCUGUCAGCAGGGAAGAACGGUCACUGUGCUAAUCAGCAGUGAAUUGACGGUACCUGCAACGGAAGCACCGGCUAACUCCGUGCCAGCAGCCGCGGUAAUACGGAGGGUGCGAGCGUUAAUCGGAAUUACUGGGCGUAAAGCGCUCGUAGGCGGUAUGUCAAGUCAAGGGUGAAAUCCCCGCGCUCAACGUGGGAACUGCCUUUGAAACGGGCAAACCGGAGUGUGUGAGAGGAUAGUGGAAUUCCAGGGGUAGGAGUGAAAUCCGUAGAUAUCUGGAGGAACAGCAGUGGCGAAGGCGACUAUCUGGCACAUAACUGACGCUGAGGAGCGAAAGCGUGGGUAGCAAACAGGAUUAGAUACCCCAGUAGUC